CGCUUUGGAGGAAACCGACGUUUUAAACCUUCAUAUUUGAAUUUUGAAAUUCAUAUCCCCUGCCCCUACUCCCACUCCCAGUUCUCUCUCAUCAUGUUUGAAUUUUGAAAUUCACAUUCCCUACUUCAACUCCUAGUUCUCUCUUGAUUCUUUCAUCUUGUUCUUGUUCAGCAGCAACCUAAAUCUCAAAGUCGGUCCGAUAUUGAAGGAUUUCUUAUCUUGAAUCGUUGUUAGGGGGCUACAAUUGAACGAACAAAUGGUUGAGAGGUAUAUGUUCUAUCAUAAUCGAAAGAAGGGUGAAGGGUUGUGCCAAACUGGGUUCCGAUCUGAGUUUCAAGGGAAAGUUUUUGAGUUUUCUUUUGCUUAUCAGCUCGAUUGAUGCCCUAAUUUGUGCCUGACGUCUGUUACAUAUUUAUGACCUUUGACUGGGUUCUGAUUUAAGCAAACCGAAGAUACAACAAUCAAGCUUGAUCUGGACGGGCUUGUUGUUAUUGGCGGAGAUGAUUCAACACAAAUACUUGCCUUCAUGAAAAUCAACCUGUCAACAUGAAAGUUUUAGGAUCAAGAAUAGACUCGGGUCAUUGGAUGCCCAAAGGCCAUUGAUGGAGACUUGAAAUGUAAAGAAGUUCUUAUAAGCUUUGGUGUCGAUACUGCAUUCACUGGUUUUUGAGACGGGGAACACCAACUUCUUCGCAACAAUUGGUGCGAUCUUCUCCGCAACCGAUUUUGUUUCCACUUUGAAGGUAAAUCGUUUAUCGGGUUGGGUUGUUGAAAAUAGGCAAAUGAGGAGUAUAUAUCUUACAUGAGCUCGAAGUCCGGUCAAUAGAAAUGGGUUUGCUGCUGUUGGCACUAAUAAGUAGGAAUGUCUUGUGAUUUGGAUCCAAACUGCUCCUCGUGGCUUUUUGGGAAGAUGCACAUUGAGAGCUUUGAUAGGACUGGUGAAGCUGCAACCGUUAGUCUAAGGGUGGCAUGUCAUGAAACAAGUGGUAUACACUCGUUCGGGUCUAACAAAGAGUCAGGGCUUGACGGUGUUGUAAAUUGUCAUUGUCGCCGUAUUGCGCGGGUUUCUUACUAUAUAUAGUAUAUAUAAGAAAACUACUAGACACGAGUGUCGUAAUGCAAAGUGUU